rnacentral:rRNA from 2 species
GGAUCCAGACUUUGAUCCUGGCUCAGGAUGAACGCUGGCGGCGUGCCUAACACAUGCAAGUCGAACGGAGCUGCUUUGAUGAGAUCUUCGGAUGGAUUUAAAACAGCUUAGUGGCGGACGGGUGAGUAGCGCGUGGGUAACCUGCCUCACACUGGGGGAUAACAGUUAGAAAUAGCUGCUAAUACCGCAUAAGCGCACAGUUCCGCAUGGAACAGUGUGAAAAACUCCGGUGGUGUGAGAUGGACCCGCGUCUGAUUAGCCAGUUGGCGGGGUAACGGCCCACCAAAGCGACUAUCAGUAGCCGGCCUGAGAGGGUGAACGGCCACAUUGGGACUGAGACACGGCCCAAACUCCUACGGGAGGCAGCAGUGGGGAAUAUUGCACAAUGGGGGAAACCCUGAUGCAGCGACGCCGCGUGAGUGAAGAAGUAUUUCGGUAUGUAAAGCUCUAUCAGCAGGGAAGAAAGUGACGGUACCUGAAUAAGAAGCCCCGGCUAACUACGUGCCAGCAGCCGCGGUAAUACGUAGGGGGCAAGCGUUAUCCGGAUUUACUGGGUGUAAAGGGAGCGUAGACGGCAAGGCAAGUCUGAAGUGAAAGCCCGGUGCUUAACGCCGGGACUGCUUUGGAAACUGUUUAGCUGGAGUGCCGGAGAGGUAAGCGGAAUUCCUAGUGUAGCGGUGAAAUGCGUAGAUAUUAGGAAGAACACCAGUGGCGAAGGCGGCUUACUGGACGGUAACUGACGUUGAGGCUCGAAAGCGUGGGGAGCAAACAGGAUUAGAUACCCUGGUAGUCCACGCCGUAAACGAUGAUUGCUAGGUGUAGGUGGGUAUGGACCCAUCGGUGCCGCAGCUAACGCAAUAAGCAAUCCACCUGGGGAGUACGUUCGCAAGAAUGCAACUCAAAGGAAUUGACGG